GUGCUCACUUUGGCAGCACGCAUACUAAAAUUGGAAUGAUACAGAGAUUACCAUGGCCCCUAUGCAAGGAUGACACGCAAAUUUGUGAAGCAUUCCAUGUUUUU
ensembl:snRNA U6 U6 spliceosomal RNA